rnacentral:rRNA from 1 species
UGGGGAAUAUUGGACAAUGGGCGGAAGCCUGAUCCAGCAACGCCGCGUGAGGGAUGACGGCCUUCGGGUUGUAAACCUCUUUCAGUACCGACGAAGCGAAAGUGACGGUAGGUACAGAAGAAGGACCGGCCAACUACGUGCCAGCAGCCGCGGUAAUACGUAGGGUCCGAGCGUUGUCCGGAAUUAUUGGGCGUAAAGGGCUCGUAGGCGGUUUGUCGCGUCGGGAGUGAAAAACAGCGGGCUUAACUCGUUGCUUGCUUUCGAUACGGGCAGACUAGAGGUAUGCAGGGGAGAAUGGAAUUCCUGGUGUAGCGGUGAAAUGCGCAGAUAUCAGGAGGAACACCGGUGGCGAAGGCGGUUCUCUGGGCAUUACCUGACGCUGAGGAGCGAAAAGUGUGGGGAGCGAACAGGAUUAGAUACCCUGGUAGUCCACACCGUAAAACGUUGGGCGCUAGGUGUGGGGUCCUUUCCACGGAUUCCGUGCCGUAGCU